UACGUAGGGUGCGAGCGUUAAUCGGAAUUCCUGGGCGUAACGCGUGCGCAGGCGGUUAUGUAAGACAGAUGGGAAAUCCCCGGGCUCAACCUGGGAACUGCAUUUGUGACUGCAUAGCUAGAGUACGGUAGAGGGGGAUGGAAUUCCGCGUGUAGCAGUGAAAUGCGUAGAUAUGCGGAGGAACACCGAUGGCGAAGGCAAUCCCCUGGACCUGUACUGACGCUCAUGCACGAAAGCGUGGGGAGCAAACAGG
rnacentral:rRNA from 1 species